UAUAAGCAGUUUUUUAAACAAAUCCAAGUAAUAUUUUUUCGCAUCCAUAAUUCGCUCUUAAGGGGCAAGAAAUUCAAUGAAAGUACAAAAUCUGUAAUCAUGUAUGACUUUUGCAAAAAGCUAUUGAUGUAGUUUAAUUUCUCUAAAAAGUACAUUUCUCUGAAAGCAGCUGGAUUUUUUUUAUCUAAAGUAGUUUCCAGGAUAUGAGGACUUUAUGCAGUUACACUGAAUAUUGAUGAUUUUUCUCACUCCUUUAAACUGAAUCAUCGCUACUAAAAAAAUGUCUCGCUUUUGUU